UUCCAGUGAAACAAUGGGGCACAGGCCUGUCUCCCGUUUGCAUGAGGAGGAUUCCUGGGCUUCUUGGAAAGGUCUUUCAGGAACGUCUCUUUGUAUUCGGUCACCCAGUCGCCAAAGCAGCUCCAGCAAGGACGAAGCAGCAGGUCAUGCAGAAACCAGGUUAGGAGAGAGCCAGAGCAAGGCCCAACCCAAUACACCUGCACAGGGCCAGUUGUGUGACCAUCAUCACUGGAGCCUACUCGAGCCUACUCGUCUGCAUUAUACUCCUCGUCAUGCCCAGGGUGACGGACCCUCAGUCAGCAAACCCAAAGAAAGACUCCUGGCCAAGAAUAUCAUAAAAUCAAUAUAAGACAAAAGGAAUGGGAUAUAUGCCCCAAGGCUGAAUGAAACAAAUGAAGGUCUCUGAUGAAAAAAAUGUUGACCUGCAUAAUCAGAUUCAAACAAGUAUGAG
rnacentral:lncRNA from 1 species